rnacentral:rRNA from 1 species
GGUGGGGUCAUAGCCCACCAAGACGAUGAUCCAUAGCUGGUCUGAGAGGAUGAUCAGCCACACUGGGAGUGAGACACGGCCCAGACUCCUAUGGGAGGCAGCAGUGGGGAAUAUUGGACAAUGGGGGAAACCCUGAUCCAGCAAUGCCGCGUGUGUGAAGAAGGCCUUCGGGUUGUAAAGCACUUUCAGCAGGAAAGAAAGUCUUAAAGUUAAUACCUUUAAUGAGUUGACGUUACCUGCAGAAGAAGCACUGGCUAACUCUGUGCCAGCAGCCGCGGUAAUACAGAGAGUGCAAGCGUUAAUCGGAAUUACUGGGCGUAAAGCGCGCGUAGGUGGAUAUUAAAGUCGGGUGUGAAAGCCCCGAGCUUAACUCGGGAAUUGCGUUCGAUACUGAGUAUCUAGAGUAUAGUAGAGGGAAGUGGAAUUUCCGGUGUAGCGGUGAAAUGCGUAGAUAUCGGAAGGAACACCAGUGGCGAAGGCGGCUUCCUGGACUAAUACUGACACUGAGGUGCGAAAGCGUAGGGAGCAAACAGGAUUAGAUACCCUG